UUAAACUUUGUUGACAACUGAUGCCGCGAUUUGUUUCGAAGCGUUGCCGUUCAGGAAUGUGUAAUUUUAAGGCUCACGUAAAAUUACAAUGGUGACCAUCAAAAUUCUUUGCUAUCAUUUUGCAUUGCAUAAAUUUUUUGAACAUUUCACUGCAGAACUUUUAAUUGCGACAGUAAUACCCGCGUCGGUUUUGAUUAUAAUUAUAAGCGACAUUACUUCGAAGGAACAUGGUUAUGUGUGCGAGCUUUCUAAUUUAUUACUUCAGUGUAUAGUUGUAAUUAGCACAAACCUCCUUGAAUUAGCAUGUAAGUAUGUUUCGGAUGCAAAAUUCGCAUCUACUUUCAACGAAGAAGUCAACCCGGGAUUUCUUCAGAUGCAACUUCGUUUUGAUGGCUGCAUUGGAUUUCCUGGUGGUAUAAUUGAAGAAGGAACAAAUAUAGUAAAAGGAUUGAAUCGAGAGCUUGAGGAAGAAAUAAAUUUGAAUUCAAAAUAUUUCGUUACAGAUGAAAAUCACUUAUUCAGUCAUGUGAAUAUUGAGGCAAAAACAUGUUUUCAUUUCUAUGGAAAGGAAGUAUCCAAAGAAGAAUUUCAGCAUAUCGAAAAAAAUGCACUAGAUGCACGGGACUAUGGUAUUGAGACUUUUGGCAUGAUUAGAGUUCCUCUAUUUACAAUGCAAGAUGGAAUUCGUGGAUUUCCAACAUUUCUGAAAAACUGUUUUAUAGAAGAUUGUUGACUCAUAGUGUUGCAAAUAAAAAGAAGGAAGCCAUGGCCAUCGAAAGUAAGAAAUAAAUCAUAGAUAAACAGGUGUGCUUGGGUACAAGAGACGGAAUCGGCGAAGACUUGCAUUCGACAGCGACUAUCUGCACUAUUCUGAAGAAGAAGGAAGAAAUUAAGAAACUUGAUGUGGCCAAAGGAGUUACUGUUACAUCCCAGCACCAUCCAAAACUCCUAGAUGUUGUUGGCGUGGAUUAACGAGAAGCAGUUAAAAGGCAAUUCGGUGUUGGAAGCUAUCAUAAAGAUCUUCUGCAUUGCUUAUUUGACUAUAAACUACAAUUUAGAAGAUUCUCUUUACCUGAAGAAAUGAAAUGAUUACAAAAAAUACGUUACAAAUAAAUUCAGAAAGUUCCAGCUACAGAAAUACACUCAUAUCCAUAAAUUAAGGAUAACUCAGAAUCAUAUGAAAAUCAAACUCUAAACUAAAAAUUUCACCUGUAAAAUUAUCACACACACAUCUUCAAAAAUAAUAUUCAAAUUACAGGAAGUCAUCAGGUGACACCAAUAGUACAUCACAAUGAUGAGAGUGUAAGACAAGUAUAUAUAAGGAAUGGUAAUAAAGAAGUAAAAUUGUUCACAAACACUCUGUAAGCCACUCAGUGCCACAGAGGAGGCACGUGAAUGAUUUUUUACAAGGAAGUAUCCAAAGAACUUGGAAUAACCCCAAAGUGUCAUCUCUAGGCUUUGGCAUCAGUAUUUGGUAGUAACUGCCAAAAGAAGCAGACAGAGCACAGCAUCAGACCUGCUUCGUCAGCUAUCUUCAGCCAAGGGUAUGACAAUUUCGAGGCAAACUGUGUACAAAAGUUUGGGACAGAUUAGUCUGUAUGCUCGCAAGGCCUGUCAGAUGUUUUUGCUCACGGCAACUCAGUGUCGCCAGCAGUAGACAACAUGCAAUGUGGACAUCGUCACACUGGGCUUGCGUAAUGAUUCAUGUUGGACUUUCAUAUGGAGAACUUCAGGUACCCACUGCCACCAAGACAUCAUUAAACGACACUGUUACGAUGGUGCAGGAUUGCUUGUUUGGGGUGGAAUUAUACAAGGGUCCAAGAACAGAUCUGUAUGUUACCGUGAUAGGCCAAAUUUAUCGAAACAUCACCCUGAAACAACAUGUAUGUCUGUUUAGAGGUGCCAUGGGUGCAGAAUUUGUGUUUAAAGAUGAUGCGCCCAUCCUCACCAUGCAAACAUUGUAAAGGAAUGCCUUCAGUUUGAGGAUAUCAACCGUAUGGAAUGGCAAGUAUUCUCACUUGACUUGAAUCCAAUAGAACAUGUGUGGGACAUGCUAAUUGCAGCCCAUUAAGUAGCUCCUACAUGUGACUGGAACUUUAGAGAGCAUUGCGUGGAAUAAUCUUUCCCAAGAUCAGCUUGACAAUUUGAUACUCAGCAUGCCCUAGGCAUUGUACAGAGUGUAUUUCAUCGUCUGGGAGACAUACAAUGUAUUAACCAUCAUACCAACUAUAUAAUGUUGAGUUUUUGUAAAAGAUAUUUUUUAUAAUUGCUACUGGGAGCACAACUCCUAGUUUUUAUGAAUGGUAUCAUACAUACAUCGUCUCUUUUGUUUAAUAAAUGGGCUUAUGAAUAA
rnacentral:misc_RNA from 1 species